GAUGAACGCUGGCGGCGUGCCUAAUACAUGCAAGUCGAGCGAACGGACGAGAAGCUUGCUUCUCUGAUGUUAGCGGCGGACGGGUGAGUAACACGUGGAUAACCUACCUAUAAGACUGGGAUAACUUCGGGAAACCGGAGCUAAUACCGGAUAAUAUUUUGAACCGCAUGGUUCAAAAGUGAAAGACGGUCUUGCUGUCACUUAUAGAUGGAUCCGCGCUGCAUUAGCUAGUUGGUAAGGUAACGGCUUACCAAGGCAACGAUGCAUAGCCGACCUGAGAGGGUGAUCGGCCACACUGGAACUGAGACACGGACAUGACGCCUACGGGAGGCAGCAGUAGGGAAUCGGCCGCAACGGUCGAAAGCCUGACGGAGCAACGGCGCGUGAGUGAUGAAGGUCUUCGGAUCGUAAAACUCCGUUAUUAGGGAAGAACAUAUGUGUAAGUAACUGUGCACAUCGUGACGGUACCUAAUCAGAAAGCCACGGCUAACUACGUG
rnacentral:rRNA from 1 species